rnacentral:miRNA from 1 species
UUGGUGCAAAAGUAAUUGUGGAUUUUGUCAUUACUUCUAAUGGCAAAAACUGUAAUCACUUUUGCAGCAACCUAA